rnacentral:lncRNA from 1 species
GGGUGUGCCGCACAAGGAGGCGGUGUUCAAGACCCACCCAAUGAACUUCCUCAACGAGAAGACCCUGAAAGGCACCUUCUUCGGUAACUACAAGCCGCGCACCGACCUGCCGGAAGUGGUCGAGAUGUACAUGAGGAAGGAGCUCGACCUGGAGAAGUUCAUCACACAUAGCGUGCCCUUCUCGCAGAUCAACACGGCGUUCGACCUCAUGCUCAAGGGGGAGGGCCUGCGCUGCAUCAUGAGGAUGGACCAGUAGGAGCUGGACCUGGAGAAGAUCACCACAGUGUUUCUCGCUGUUUUCAGGUUUGGUGCUUGAGAAGCAAAAGACAAAAAAAACAAAAAGUUUGAAAUCUCCCCUUGGAUAAUAAUGUACUAGUCGCGAGAUGUGUUCAUCUCUAUGGUCUUAGAGGG